rnacentral:rRNA from 1 species
ACACUUUGAUCCUGGCUCAGAACAAACGCUGGCGGCGUGUCUUAAGCAUGCAAGUCGAGCGGCAAGGGCAGCAAUGCCCCUAGAGCGGCGGACUGGUGAGUAACGCGUGGGUGAUCUACCUUGGGCAUGGGGAUAGCCAUUAGAAAUAGUGGGUAAUACCGAAUACGUUCGUUACCGUGAGGGUAACGAGGAAAGGCGCUACGGCGCCGGCCUGAAGAUGAGCUUGCGUCCCAUUAGCUAGUUGGUGAGGUAAAGGCCCACCAAGGCGAUGAUGGGUAGCCGGCCUGAGAGGGUGUACGGCCACACUGGGACUGAGAUACGGCCCAGACUCCUACGGGAGGCAGCAGCUAAGAAUAUUCCGCAAUGGACGAAAGUCUGACGGAGCGACGCCGCGUGGAUGAAGAAGGCCGAAAGGUUGUAAAGUCCUUUUGCUGGGGAAGAAUAAGCGCAGGAGGGAAUGCCUGCGUGAUGACAUGAACCGGCGAAUAAGCCCCGGCUAACUACGUGCCAGCAGCCGCGGUAAUACGUAGGGGGCAAGCGUUGUCCGGAUUUACUGGGUGUAAAGGGUGCUCAGGCGGAUUCGUAAGUCAGUGGUGAAAUCCCGGAGCUUAACUCCGGAACUGCCAUUGAUACUGCGAGUCUCGAGUUUGGAAGAGGUAGAUGGAAUAUCUGGUGUAGCAGUGAAAUGCGUAGAUAUCAGAUAGAACACCAAUGGCGAGGGCAGUCUACUGGUCCAAUACUGACGCUAAAGCACGAAAGUGUGGGUAGCAAACAGGAUUAGAUACCCUGGUAGUCC